AGUGUGCUAAAAACUAUUUAAUCUAUGUAAAGAAAACUUAAGUGUGAUAUACAAUUUCAGUGAUCAAUUCCUUUUCAAUAUUUGUUACAAGAAGAGGACGGUAAUAUAUGGCUAAACUUACGAAGCUUUUUUAUGUAAUGUUCUACUUUGUUUUCCUAUUUCUGGUUGCAAUAAACGGUGAUCUUCUAUGUGAAAAUGACUCUGAUUGUAAAACAAAAAUAGUUUGCACGCUUCGUCGGGUUCCUGUGUGUAAGUUUGAGAUAUGUAAGUGUAAGUUUCCUUCUGGUCGCGGCUUUCUUUCGAAAGUUGGUGGGUGAACAAGACCAAAGUGGUUGCAGACAAGAAUGACUUCUUGUUGAAGAAAAAGAUCUAAGAAAUAUUGUUUAUGAUAGCAUAUUCUACAUUAUGUCAUUUAAAUAUUGUGUUCGCAUUCAAUAACUAAGUUUAAAAUAGUAAUUUUGUAUUGAAAUUUAUAAUGAAUUUUAUAUUAAAUAUAUAACUUUUUCAUAAAUAAUUGUUGUUUUUUAAUAAAAAAAUUACUACUCUGUUGCUCUGACAUGUGCAAUAUAUACUGUAUAAUAUUAAGCAUAUAGAAUCACUCAUAUGCUCCCUCUCUUAAAAAGGAGUUGCGGACUGUUCUUUGUAAAGGUAUACAUUGCUAUGUGGCAUAGACAUUGUCACAAUAUAUAGACUUGGGCAAGUAAUAAUUUCAGUGAUUUUCCCUCUAUAGAUCAUAACAUAUGCAAUCAUGUAGGAAGAUUUGCGUAAGACUUUCAUCAAGAAGCAACCACCUAACCCUAUUUUAACAUUUAUAAGAUAGAAAUGUUUUUAUCAAUUUGCAAUGUAUCAUCCUCAUAAUUUGUAGAUUGUGGUGAAUACUUAAUUCAUGGAUCCAUAAGUAAAAUAAGGUUUUUGAUCCUA